UGGGGAAUAUUGGACAAUGGGCGCAAGCCUGAUCCAGCCAUGCCGCGUGAGUGAUGAAGGCCCUAGGGUUGUAAAGCUCUUUCACCGGUGAAGAUAAUGACGGUAACCGGAGAAGAAGCCCCGGCUAACUUCGUGCCAGCAGCCGCGGUAAUACGAAGGGGGCUAGCGUUGUUCGGAUUUACUGGGCGUAAAGCGCACGUAGGCGGACUUUUAAGUCAGGGGUGAAAUCCCGGGGCUCAACCCCGGAACUGCCUUUGAUACUGGAAGUCUUGAGUAUGGUAGAGGUGAGUGGAAUUCCGGGUGUAGAGGGGAAAUUCGUAGAUAUUCGGAGGAACACCAGUGGCGAAGGCGGCUCACUGGUCCAUUACUGACGCUGAGGUGCGAAAGCGUGGGGAGCAAACAGG
rnacentral:rRNA from 1 species